CAACGCAUGGCCCUGAGGAAGUGUGCCCAGACCCUCUGCCAUUUACCUCCCCAUGUCCCAUGUCACUCCGGGCAAUAAGAUGGCGUCCUCCCAAGUAGGAAGAGUCCCAGUGGUGCCCAGUAAGAAAUGGGAUCGAAUCUGGGAUCUUCAGGCUUUCUAUGCAGGUGGCGGAACCACUGAACUAAAUUCCUAGCACAA